CCAAUAGCGUAUAUUAAAGUUGUUGCAGUUAAAAAGCUCGUAGUUGAAUUUCGGGAUCAAGUCGUCGGUCGUGCCUCGGUACGCACUGGUGACAUUGGUUUCUCCCUUCUGAAGAACCUUGAUGUCAUUAAUUUGGUGUCUUGGGGAAUCAGGACUGUUACUUUGAAAAAAUUAGAGUGUUUAAAGCAGGCUCACGCUUGAAUACAUUAGCAUGGAAUAAUGAAAUAGGACGUUUGAUUCUAUUUUGUUGGUUUCUAGGAUCGACGUAAUGAUUAAUAGGGAUAGUUGGGGGCAUUAGUAUUAAAUUGUCAGAGGUGAAAUUCUUGUAUUUAUUGAAGACUAACUACUGCGAAAGCAUUUGCCAAGGAUGUUUUCAUUAAUCAAGAACGAAAGUUAGGGGAUCGAAGACGAUCAGAUACCGUCGUAGUCUUAACCAUAAACUAUGCCGACUAGGGAUCGGAUGAUGUUAAUUUUUUAAUGACUCAUUCGGCGCCUUACG
rnacentral:misc_RNA from 1 species